rnacentral:rRNA from 1 species
ACGUAGGUGGCAAGCGUUAUCCGGAAUUAUUGGGCGUAAAGCGCGCGUAGGCGGUUUGUUAAGUCUGAUGUGAAAGCCCACGGCUCAACCGUGGAGGGUCAUUGGACACUGGAAAACUUGAGUGCAGCAGAGGAAAGUGGAAUUCCAUGUGUAGCGGUGAAAUGCGCAGAGAUAUGGAGGAACACCAGUGGCGAAGGCGACUUU